CUGGAGCUAGGAGGCCGUGAGGCUGGCCAUGGACGAAAUAGCAUUUUCUAUUUGGAAGACAAUGCCAGGCGACAACGCGCCAUGCUUCGCAGAAAUCACUACGCUGAAACGGAUGCGCGCUUUUGGGAAUACAAUUGGAUACAUACGGGGCAUUUAAGCCUAGUCAAAAGCUAACGGCAAUUUAACUUGACGGCAAUUUAACUUGAUUUUUGCCGUUCCUUCUAUCUGUCUUCAAAGAAUUGUCCCUCCCUCGGCCAGGUACCAUUCAUGACAUUUGGGGCCCCUCUCUCUCUCUCUCUCUCUCUCUGUCUCUCUCUCUGUGAGUAGCAUCCAGGUGGUGGAGCGGAAAUGGCGGGAGCUUGUAGCGAAAUAGGGACGUUGAGUAGGGUGUGGAGGGGAGGGUUAUGCACUCGGCUGAGGGAGUUUGAAGUGUGUGGGUGUGAUUGACAAGUGGAUGUACAUGCAUGCAUUAUGUGUCAACGCACUGGUGGCCAUAACUGAGAUUCGAUUUGAUAAAUCGGAAUUCUCAUGACGCCCUGAAACGGAGUUAACAGAGUUUCGUUUGAGUAAACGUUCUAACACGUGGACUAUACAUCAGAGUGGACAGACACUCCAACAGCAUUAAAUACAGUUGUGAAAUACACGGGUUUAAACAUCCCAAGUGUGCCUGAGAACCGUUGUUUAAUCAAAGGUAGGAGCUUGAUGAUGGUAGCGAGAGAGCUGUCUUUACAGGAGAGGCCUAGUCAGUUUGUAUAUUCUUUCAAUGCUUUCCCAGAAAACAUUUGAAAGAGAACUCAACUUAACAGUACAGCAACAUUUUCAUGAUGUUUCUUAUAGGCCCACAUAAAGAUAACUGCUAUUGUAACGUCUCAAAUUACUCGAAACACUGGACUCACCGUUCCCCAGUAUACCUAAAACAAAUCCCUGCUCUGUGAAGGAUAUUGCUGCAUUUGUUUGCGAGUUUUAAAGAUCUGAGAUGUAAACACGUCAGCUUGUGUGUGUUGAUGGUGUGUGUGUCAGACUGGAGUGAAAACACAGUUUUGGUUCUCAAAAUGUCCACUUUGGUAUUUUGGGACUAGCAAGGGAUUCAAACUCAAAGGCCCGUUGGACGUUGGAAAUAACAACACCUCCACCGGUCCCGCCCCUCCGGAACCCGAACGAGAGGAUUUCAAAUUGCC
ensembl:lncRNA